UUUUAUGUUUAGAUGAUGCUGUUGUUAUCCUAAGAAGUCAACAUGAUUCUUUUCAUAAAAAUAAAGCAAAUAUAUUUAAGAAGAAGCUUAAAGAGCAAAUAACUGCAAGAUCUAUUAAGGUAGUUUAACCAAACUCUUUGCUAGUUGGCUGCUAUGUGUAUUUUAUAUGGUGAAAUUUGCAGUAUCCCGAUAUCCACAGGAUACUAAAAUUUGGUUUUGGGUACCAAACUGCAAAUGACUUAUAUCCCAACUGGAUACUAAGAAAAUUUCAAACAUUAGGAAAAUGUUAAGCACCUCAGACAGUCUCCUGAUAGCUUUUGAAUACUAUGAGUUUGCCACCCAAGCCUUUCCUCAUAUAAUGUUCAUUUUUGUGGAUUAAUGAAUUGUCUAGUUGUUGACAACUUGACUGAACAUUGAAUCUCCUGUUGUUACUGUAAUUUGUAACAGCGAGAGUUAUUGGAUGGGACAGGGUAGAAUACUUAUGGUAACCAGUAUAUCCAGAAGUGGGAUACUGCAUUCUCAGGGGGGGGGGGUACUAAACUUUGAAUCCUGGUAUCCCAGUUGGAUACUGAGAAAAUAUUUAAAUUUCAGACCCUGCCGUGAAUCAGGGCGGUUGAAAGUUUGCCCAGAAUUUUUUGGAGGAUUGCAAUGAAAUAACCUGAAUUGAACAUAUUUAAUCUGCCCAAAUUUCCAUGACGUUCUAAAGUUGCUUUUUGUUUGGGGGGCAGCCCCCCCCCCACUCCCCUAGCCAGUAGGCUUAUAGUGAUUGACACAGUGUAUGUAUAUUUUGUACAGCAUCAAAAUUUUAUCAAACUGUCAAUAAUGUUCAACAUUUAGGGUCAACUCUCAGUCAAAAUGCUUCAUGAAGAUUGGGCACCCUAUGGAGCUUGGACAAUUUUUCCAAUAAUUAAUAUGUGAGUGUGCAAUGCCUUUGGCCAAGGGAAGCCUCACAUAUCGAUUUUUUCCAUGAGAAACGUCAUAUGUUCGUUUGGGGGUGGGGGUUUGCAGCUGUGACGUUUCUCUGUAAAACAUCAUGGAAAAAUUCGAUAGUUUUUUCGAAAGCCUUAACAUGCUUGUGUGAUGUUACUCUGAGUGUAUAUCCCCACCGGGUAGGCUUGAAAAAUAUGCCUGGCCACGGUGGGAUACAAACCUAUGACCUUUGGAAUACUAGCCCAAUGCUCUGCCAACUGAGCUACACGGUCAGGACGGUUCAAGUAAUUAAUGCGGUAUUUCGGAACUGAGUCUAGUUCCUUUUUUUCAAGCCUGCCCGGUGGGGAUAUACACUCAAGCAAGCAUCUUAUUCACCUGAGUACAUCACCUGAGUACAUACACAACACAGCCUUAACAUUCUGGAAUCAUCAUUGCAGAAUAUAAAAAACAAAACAACUUGAUACAAACACCAGUGACAGUGUAUACAUUCGUAAUACAUGUUCUAUACAUUUCUAUUUUUACGCCUUCCUUGCAUUGAAAACACUCAAAUUUCAAGAAAAAUUUGCUAAAAUUGUCAAUAUUUCAUGCAAAAAAAGAAAUUUGAAGAAACAUUGGAAAUUUUGAAGUUCAUAUUAUAUUAAUAAAAAACAUGUGAGCAGAAAAUGACAUAUUCCUCGCAGAAGCAUCGCCAAUAGCAAACCGUGGAAAAUAGUAGAAAAUUAGCUUAUGUGUACUAUAAGAACAAAAUAUUGAUAACUAUGUGUGACGUUUCUAAGGCGGGGGGUGGGGUGUGUCUCCAGAGAAAUGAACAUAUGACGUUUCUCAUGGACAAAAUCGAUAUGUCAGGCUUCCCUUAGCAAAAUAUUAACAUCACUUGAAAAUUGAACAGUUAUACUUUUUUAACAAGUUUAUUAGAG